rnacentral:rRNA from 1 species
UACGUAGGGUGCAAGCGUUGUCCGGAAUUAUUGGGCGUAAAGAGCUCGUAGGCGGUCAGUCGCGUCUGCUGUGAAAACUCGGGGCUUAACUCCGGGCCUGCAGUGGGUACGGGCUGACUAGAGUGCGGUAGGGGAGACUGGAAUUCCUGGUGUAGCGGUGGAAUGCGCAGAUAUCAGGAGGAACACCGAUGGCGAAGGCAGAUCUCUGGGCCGUAACUGACGCUGAGGAGCGAAAGCAUGGGGAGCGAACAGG